CCUACGGGUGGCAGCAGUGGGGAAUAUUGGACAAUGGGGGGAACCCUGAUCCAGCGACGCCGCGUGAGUGAAGAAGUAUUUCGGUAUGUAAAGCUCUAUCAGCAGGGAAGAAAAUGACGGUACCUGACUAAGAAGCCCCGGCAAACUAUGUGCCAGCAGCCGCGGUAAUACAUAGGUGGCAAGCGUUGUCCGGAAUGACUGGGCGUAAAGGGAGCGUAGGCGGUCUGUUAAGUUGGAAGUGAAAUCCCGGGGCUCAACCCCGGAACUGCUUUCAAGACUGACGGACUUGAGUGUAAGAGGGGUAAGCGGAAUUCCUAGUGUAGCGGUGGAAUGCGUAGAUAUUAGGAGGAACACCAGUGGCGAAGGCGGCUUACUGGAUUAUAACUGACGCUGAGGCUCGAAAGCGUGGGUAGCAAACAGGAUUAGAUACCCGAGUAGUC
rnacentral:rRNA from 1 species